GAAGCAGCCAUCAUUUAAAGAAAGCGUAAUAGCUCACUGGUCGAGUCGGCCUGCGCGGAAGAUGUAACGGGGCUAAACCAUGCACCGAAGCUGCGGCAGCGACGCUUAUGCGUUGUUGGGUAGGGGAGCGUUCUGUAAGCCGUUGAAGGUGUGCUGUGAGGCAUGCUGGAGGUAUCAGAAGUGCGAAUGCUGACAUAAGUAACGAUAAAGCG
rnacentral:rRNA from 1 species